CUAUAGUCACUCUGCAUCUGCAAAUUCAGGUGCCGGGAUUGGAAACCCGCUGU
rnacentral:ncRNA from 1 species